UACUUGUUCGAGCGAACAGUGGUAUGACGCUACGUCCGUUGGAUUAUGCCUGAACGCCUCUAAGGUCGUAUCCGUGCUGGACUGCAAUGAUAAAUAAGGGGCAAUUUGCAUUGUAUGGCUUCUAAACCAUUAAAAGUUUGUAAUUUAUUUUACAAACGACAAUGGAUGUGAUGCCAAUGUAAUUUGUAACAUAGUAAAUCGGGAGGAUCAUUGAUCACCUGGUGCCGCGCUAGUUACAUAUAAAAACAUUAUUUAAUACAAUGACAAAGCCUAGAAUCAAUUGUAAACGACUUUUGUAACAGGCAAGGUGUUGUAAGUGGUUGAGCAGCUGCCAUACUGCGAUCCACUGAAGCUUAUCCUUUGCUUGAUGAUUCGA
rnacentral:rRNA from 1 species